rnacentral:rRNA from 1 species
AUUGAACGCUGGCGGCAUGCCUUACACAUGCAAGUCGAACGGCAGCACGGGUGCUUGCCCCUGGUGGCGAGUGGCGAACGGGUGAGUAAUACAUCGGAACAUGUCCUGUAGUGGGGGAUAGUCCGGCGAAAGCCGGAUUACUACUGCAUACGAACUACGGAUGCAAGCGGGGGACCUUCGGGCCUCGCGCUUUAGGGUUGGCCGAUGGCUGAUUAGCUAGUUGGUGGGGUAAAGGCCUACCAAGGCGACGAUCAGUAGCUGGUCUGAGAGGGCGAUCAGCCACACUGGAACUGAGACACGGCCCAGACUCCUACGGGAGGCAGCAGUGGGGAAUUUUGGACAAUGGGCGAAAGCCUGAUCCAGCAAUGCCGCGUGUGUGAAGAAGGCCUUCGGGUUGUAAAGCACUUUUGUCCGGAAAGAAAAACUGUGCCCUAAUACGGGCGGGGGAUGACGGUACCGGAAGAAUAAGCACCGGCUAACUACGUG